UAAUGUUCUAUAGAGAUGCAAGUGCAUAUACAUGAGAAGAUCUCUCAGUAGACUAGCUAGCUAAUGGAGAUAGAGAGAAAGUGGGAGAGAAGAUUGGCCGGCCUCUUCUUCGGAGGAGACUUCUUCAGUUCUUGUCUUUGUUUUUUGAUGCUGGGGGGAAGGGAGUGAGGUGGAGGCUGACAGAAGAGAGUGAGCACACAUGGUGCCUUUCUUGCAUGGUGAAUUAAUGGGGGAAGUUCAUGCUUGAAGCUAUGUGUGCUCACUUCUCUCUCUAUUUGUGUGUGUGUGUGUGUGUGUGUGUUGAACUUUUGAUGAUCUCUUUCUUUGAGCUAGCUAAUUCAAUAUGUGAUGUGCACAAGAGAGGUGGGUGCUGUGUGUGGAAGUUGACAGAAGAGAGUGAGCACCCAUGGUGUUUCCUUAGCAUCAAGGGGCAUGCCAGGGAGCUAUGCGUGCUCACUGCUCUAUCUGUCAGCCACUGAUCAGACCCCGUUUCUUGCAUGUAAUCACAUAUCCUAACUAGGGUUUAUGCAGGUCUCCAUGAUCGGCAGCAGAGGGAGGGAGCUGGGCUUUGGAGGUCUGACAGAAGAGAGUGAGCACACGCGGUGGUUUCCUAGCAUGCGAGCGCCAUGCUGGGAGCUGCGCGUGCUCACCCUCUCUCUGUCAGCCAUUCACCAUGCUCAUCUCUCUUCUAUCUGAUGCCAAUCAAUCGACGAACAACCAAAGAGGGCACUGAGAUCCAUGUAAUAUAUGCAGGGAAACUGUAGGUUGUCGUUCUGACUUUCAGAGAGUGGGUUUCAUGGUUCUGUGAGAAGAUUUAGGCCUCAAACUAGAUAGCCUCCAAAUGAAGCUAACCCACUUCUCUCUCUAUCUAGUUGUUAUGCUUAGAUGUCAUGUCUUCUCACCGAACAUGUGUUAACAGCUCUCCGAGAUUGAAUGGAAGUAAUAUUUCCUUUGAAUCUGUAAAUGCGUGAUCUGAAACUUGGUGUACUGUACUCAGAUAGUCCCUGUUAUUUCAUGUACACAUUUCAGUUU